rnacentral:rRNA from 1 species
GUGUCAGCCGCCGCGGUAAGACGAACUGUCCUAACGUUGUUCGGAAUCACUGGGCUUAAAGGGCGCGUAGGCGGUCUGGUAAGUCGGGGGUGAAAUCCUGCAGCUCAACUGUAGAAGUGCCUUCGAUACUGCCGGUCUGGAGGGAGAUAGGGGUGUGCGGAACUUCCAGUGGAGCGGUGAAAUGCGUUGAUAUUGGAAGGAACGCCGGAGGCGAAAGCGGCGCACUGGAUCUCUUCUGACGCUGAGGCGCGAAAGCUAGGGGAGCAAACGGGAUUAGAUACCCUCGUAGUCC